GGGCAUGGGGAGCACUUGUGGGAGACAUGGGCUGCUAGAAUUUAGAUCUAAGGAGCCUUAAGAAAAGCCUCUUUAAAUAGGCAAAAUGUUUGAAUCCUAUUCAAAAUCAAAUAGCACCUUAAUACAAGUCUUACUUGCAUUAAGAAUCUUUAUUCUUUUAGUUAUUUGACCUCCUUUAGGAGAUCUAUUAGACGCCAACUAUUAGAGCCUUUGCACCCACUUUUGCACAUGCCACAUAACACUUAUAGGAUGCCCCA
rnacentral:lncRNA from 1 species